UGAUCCUGGCUCAGGAUGAACGCUGGCGGUAUGCUUAACACAUGCAAGUCGAACGGUCUUUUAGGAGACAGUGGCGGACGGGUGAGUAACGCGUAAGAAUCUACCUUCAGGUUGGGGACAACCACUGGAAACGGUGGCUAAUACCGAAUGUGCCGAGAGGUGAAAGGCUUGCUGCCUGAAGAAGAGCUUGCGUCUGAUUAGCUAGUUGGUAGUGUAAGAGACUACCAAGGCGACGAUCAGUAGCUGGUCUGAGAGGAUGAUCAGCCACACUGGGACUGAGACACGGCCCAGACUCCUACGGGAGGCAGCAGUGGGGAAUUUUCCGCAAUGGGCGAAAGCCUGACGGAGCAAUACCGCGUGAGGGAGGAAGGCUCUUGGGUUGUAAACCUCUUUUCUCAGGGAAGAACAGAAUGACGGUACCUGAGGAAUAAGCAUCGGCUAACUCCGUGCCAGCAGCCGCGGUAAUACGGAGGAUGCAAGCGUUAUCCGGAAUGAUUGGGCGUAAAGGGUCCGCAGGUGGCAUUGUAAGUCUGCUGUUAAAGAGUUUGGCUCAACCAAAUAAGAGCAGUGGAAACUACAAAGCUAGAGUGUGGUCGGGGCAGAGGGAAUUCCUGGUGUAGCGGUGAAAUGCGUAGAUAUCAGGAAGAACACCAGUGGCGAAGGCGCUCUGCUAGGCCGAGACUGACACUGAGGGACGAAAGCUAGGGGAGCGAAUGGGAUUAGAUACCCCAGUAGUCCUAGCCGUAAACGAUGGAUACUAGGCGUAGCUCGUAUCGACCCGAGCUGUGCCGGAGCUAACGCGUUAAGUAUCCCGCCUGGGGAGUACGCAGGCAACUGUGAAACUCAAAGGAAUUGACGGGGGCCCGCACAAGCGGUGGAGUAUGUGGUUUAAUUCGAUGCAACGCGAAGAACCUUACCAAGGCUUGACAUGUCACGAAUCCUAUUGAAAGAUGGGAGUGCCUUCGGGAGCGUGAACACAGGUGGUGCAUGGCUGUCGUCAGCUCGUGUCGUGAGAUGUUGGGUUAAGUCCCGCAACGAGCGCAACCCUCGUUUUUAGUUGCCAGCAUUAAGAUGGGCACUCUAGAGAGACUGCCGGUGACAAACCGGAGGAAGGUGGGGAUGACGUCAAGUCAGCAUGCCCCUUACGUCUUGGGCUACACACGUACUACAAUGCUCCGGACAAAGGGCAGCUACACAGCGAUGUGAUGCGAAUCUCAUAAACCGGAGCUCAGUUCAGAUCGAAGGCUGCAACUCGCCUUCGUGAAGGAGGAAUCGCUAGUAAUUGCAGGUCAGCAUACUGCAGUGAAUUCGUUCCCGGGCCUUGUACACACCGCCCGUCACACCAUGGAAGUUGGUCACGCCCGAAGUCGUUACCCCAACCUAUUGGAGGGGGAUGCCUAAGGUAGGACUGAUGACUGGGGUGAAGUCGUAACAAGGUAGCCGUACCGGAAGGUGUGGCUGGAUCACCUCCUUU
rnacentral:rRNA from 1 species